GGGGUUGUGGCUUAGAGGUAGAGCACUCGCCUACCAUGUGUGAGGCACUGGAUUCGAUCCCCAGCACCACG
rnacentral:tRNA from 1 species